rnacentral:lncRNA from 13 species
UGGAAGUCAAGGGCUUCAGUGACAGACCUGGCUCAGCCUGUGAGGCUCAGGAGGAGACAUGGUCAAACUUUCCACUUGCCUGGCUUCAACAGAGGUUUCAGAAACAAAAAGCCUUCAGAAAUGAGGCUGUUUUUAAUGUUUGAAGCUGGUCAUUGCUGUUAUUGUUGAUGUUUCAUGUACACCCCACCGGCUUGUACAGAGCAUGGCUCCAGAGUCACAGCCACAUACACAGGGACUCUGGCCUUGAGCAAGUUACUUUACCUUUCUGAGCCUCAGUUUCCUCCCCUGUCGAGCGCCCUGUACUGCUCCCAGGGCUCUCAUGACCACAUGGGGAUUGCCUAUGCCAGAUGCCUUGCUCAUGGCCAGCCCUCGGUGAAUGGUGGUCCUCUCUCUUCUCUUCCUUCCCCUUGAGCUUUGAAGAGAUUCUUGGCUGGGCAUCUAUCCUCAUUCACCUCCCAGAGGCUCUGGCCUGAACAUGUUCCUUAAAACACCCACCUUUCCUCGGGAUACAGGUGGUAUGCGGAGCUGGCAGCGAGAGCCUCCAGGGAAGGGCCAAGUUGUCUAAGGGCCAAGAAUGGUGUCAUUGCCGCCUUCAGCUGGGACUCUACUUCUGGUUGGUUACCAUGGUGAGCAACUUCUCAGAGGACAGCCCAGGGAGACACGCUAGGGUUGAAAAGUCAAGAGCCUCAGUGCCUAGGUAACAGGUGUGGGGCUCUGCCCUGAAAAUCAUGGAGACCAAGACCCCUCCUGUGAAGACUGCAUCCCAUCCUGCCUCUGAGGACAGCCCUGGAGCCAGUGAGGAGCCACAGGGCAGGGCUUCCAUCUCACCCAGAGUGAACAAGAAAGCUCCCAGCGGCCCAGGCUUGGCCCCUUCCUCCGUGACCUGCCCCGCUUCCAGCUCUUACAAACCCCACUACCUGCUGACUCGGCUCCUCUUGCUGUUCCCUGAACAGGUGAGGGGAUUCUGGACUCGCUGUUCCUUUUUCCUAGAAUGCUCUUCCCCAGGUAGCCACAGGGCUCCUUCCCGCCCUCCUCGGAGUCUUUCUGACCACCUGUGAGACUGCAGUCCCUUCCCCAUCCCCAAUGCCACCUUUCUCCUCCUCUGAGACUCCUCCUCCUGCUAUGACUGACUUGGGUUUGCUCCUUAUCUGUCUCCGGCUGGAACUGCCCUGAGUAUAGGGAUUCAUUUCUCUUUUGUUCUAGGCCCUUGGCUUCUA